CUGGUGGUAGCUCAGCGGUAGAAAGCGUCGGAUUGUAAAUUUCCGAGGGUCACAGGUUCAAAUCCUGUUCGCCAGA
rnacentral:tRNA from 1 species